ensembl:lncRNA LINP1 lncRNA in non-homologous end joining pathway 1
ACAGAGGAGUCAUGUUACCCAUUGGCUCUGAUUCUUCACCCUACCUGCCCACACCCUUUGCCCAGUGACUUUGCAGUUCCUCCCCUGUGGGGGAAGUGAAUUUCCUCCCUCCGUCUCCUUGACUCUGGGUGGGCUGUGUGACUUUUCCUUGCUCAAUAGAAUGAGAAGGAGGUGGCGCACCGGCUACAAGGCUAGACCGGGGGCUCGCAUAUCUCCACUUGCAGCUGCCACUGCCAUUAGAAGAACUUGCUCAGCCAGCUCCUGGGCCCCAGGAAAAGGACAAGUGUCACCCAGAACAGAGCCACCUCCAGCUGCACUCAGCUCCAGAAGCUGGCCCAGCCGGUCCAGUACACCUUUUAAAUAAUGUCCUCUACGUGCCGGUGUGGAAGUAGCCCGGAUGCAAUUGAAUGAACAACAGACGGUGCUUUCCAGGACGGCGCUGUGCUUUCCAGGAUGGUGCUGUGCUUUCAUUCAUUUGGGUAGCUCCUCUGUGAGCCUCCCAGCGCCGACUGCAGAGCCCCCACUCUCCAGCCUGCAAGACCCCGAAAUUCAAGCCACACAAAGAAAGGAGGAGGGGGCCGUUGGCAUUUACUGAACCUUAUAAAACUGUCAGCAAAACAGCCCUUAGGCUUGGACUCCCUGCUAGCCGGGUUUUACGGUGCUGAAGUCAGCAUCUUGAUUCAGCUGCAUAAAUAAUCUCCUGCAGUCCUGCAAGGCCUGGGGUAGGAGAGGGUAUGGGGACCAGGGCACUCUGUAAGGGCUGGGAUAGGAACCCCAGGGAAUAAGACAGACCAACUGCGGGACUUCAGACUCCACUGCAGCCGGGAUCGGGUUGUUGUUAAUUUCUUAAGCAAUUUCUAAAUUCUGUAUUGACUCUCUCAUGCAUGUAACUGAUCCUUAGAUAUUGUCAGCCAAAUGACUAAAGGAUUUAGAAAUCUGAUUGACUUUUGGAAAUCUGAUUGACUGGCACACUCUCUCUGCCUCUUUCUUUCUCAACAUUUUAUUUCUAACUAUAGUUUCUUCUGUUUUUUUUAGUUACCCUAAGCAGAUCAGACAUCUCACUUUCAAAAAAUACCUUUCAAAACAUACCUUUAAAAAAUGACUUGCAAAAAAAUACCUCACCUCCUCUUAUUUUGGCAGUAGUGAGAGUAGUAGCCCCAAUGCCAACCAGCAUCUCGUCCCUGCCUCUACACCGUGCCCUGGCUGGGAAAAGUUCCAUCCCACACAUGAGCUGUGGGGUCUGGGCCAGGAGGAGCCAUUGCUCUCGCUUAUGAAGAAGAUAGAGCUGGAUCAGUGAAUGGUACCAGAGGCACACACCUCAGACCCCGCUCCAGUUCAGGUUCUGUUGCUCAGAUCUAUCAUUUUCUAUUUAUUCUGUGCGACGGCCCCAAGUUUAGCAAUCUAAAGCUUGCAUAGCCGGGCUCGGUGGCUCAACGCCUGUAAUCCCAGCAACUUGGGAGGCCAAGGCGGGCAGAUCACCUGAAGUCAGGAGUUUGAGACCAGCCUGGCCAACUUGAUGAAACCCCAUCUCUACUAAAAAAUACAAAAAUUAGCCGGUCAUGGUGGUGGGUACUUGUAAUCUCAGCUACUUGGGAGGCUGGAGAAUCACUUGAACCCAGAGGCGGAGGUUGCAGUGACCGGCGAUUACGCCAUUGCACUCCAGCCUGGGUGACAAGAGCGAAACUCCAUCUCAAAUAAAUAAAUGCAUAAAUAAAUAAAUAAAUAAAUAAAUAAAUAAAUAAAGCCAGCCAGCUUGCAUAAAGAAAGUCACAGUUAUAACUACAUAAAGUAACAGGUCAGCAUGCAGGGGUCCAAGAUGCAUUCUUGUUGCCGAUAGAGUUGGUUCACACAGCUGCAUGGAGGGUGCCCAGGAGGGGACGGUGGCUGCACCUCAAUCCAGCUCCCUUCAAUGGCACUGAGCCUUAGGAAUGCAGUGUGGAACAUGUAAGAAGUUUCUGCAGGUGGAGACAUGUUGUCUCUGGAAUUAAUUCAGACGAAUGCUCUGUGACUUAUUUGUUCCGACUGGGCCUUGCCAUGGCCUCUGGGCCUUUGGUCUCCAAUGUUUACUUAACUUCCUGCCUUAAGCUCAUGGCAGCCUUGACCCUACGUGGGACAUGAUUUCUAAUGUUUUCUCCCUAUCCUUUCAAGGGUAAUCGGGAUAAAAGGAGAACACCUGUGCCAUUUAGACCCAGUAAUCUCGGGGCGGGAGUGGUUACUUGGGGCAGUGGCGGGGGCCAGUCAGACACCAGGAAGGAAGGACAAGAAAAAAAAAACCUGUGACACAUGCAUAGAAAUUACUCAGGGAUCCUUCAAAGCAACACAGAAAUACAUAUAAAGUAAUCCUCUUUAAAAAGAAUCGUAACCCUGGUUCUAAACUGAAGACUUAUUCUGAAAUAUUCUGAUGUCAUAGUCUCAAAAACUGAAACUCUUGUAAUUGGAAAAUGUAAUUAUCUAGAGCUUUUGUGGCUUCUGUACAUAUCUCUCUGUUGCUAAACAGAGAAUAAUAUAAUUAAUAAAUGGUAAAAGGAA